rnacentral:rRNA from 1 species
AUUGCACGCUGGCGGCAGGCCUAACCCAUGCCAGUCGAGCGAGCGGCGGACGGGUGAGUAAUGUAUGGGGACUGCCCGAUAGAGGGGGAUAACUACUGGAAACGGUAGCUAAUACCGCUUAUUAUCGGCUACCCAAUAUGGGAUUAGCUAGUAGGUGGGGUAAUGGCUCACCUAGGCGACGAUCCCUAGCUGGUCUGAGAGGAUGAUCACCCACACUGGGACUGAGACACGGCCCAGACUCCGACGGAGGCAGCAGUGGGGAAUAUUGCACAAUGGGCGCAAGCCUGAUGCAGCCAUGCCGCGUGUAUGAAGAAGGCCCUAGGGUUGUAAAGUACUUUCAGUCGGGAGGCGUUACCGACAGAAGAAGCACCGGCUAACUCCGUGCCAGCAGCCGCGGUAAUAC